rnacentral:rRNA from 1 species
AUUGAACGCUGGCGGCAUGCCUUACACAUGCAAGUCGAACGGUCACGGGCCUUCGGGUGCCGACGAGUGGCGAACGGGUGAGUAAUGCAUCGGAACGUACCUUUCAGUGGGGGAUAACGUAGCGAAAGUUACGCUAAUACCGCAUAUUCUGUGAGCAGGAAAGCAGGGGAUAGCAAGACCUUGCGCUGAGUGAGCGGCCGAUGUCAGAGUAGCUAGUUGGUGGGGUAAAGGCGCACCAAGGCGACGAUAUGUCGCGGGUCUGAGAGGGUGAUCCGCGCCACGGGAACUGAUACUGAGUCCAGACUCCUAGUGGAUGCAGCAGUUGGGAAUUUUGGACAAUGGGGGCAGCCCUGAUCCAGCCAUGCCGCGUGAGUGAAGAAGGCCUUCGGGUUGUAAAGCUCUUUCGGCCGGGAAGAAAUCGUAUGGGCUAAUACCCUGUGCGGAUGACGGUACCGGCAUAAGAAGCAGCGGCUAACUACGUGCCAGCCGCCGCAGUAAAAC